CUAAGAACCCAACCAAUCUCUCCCCUUUCCUCAACCCCAAUUAGGCGUCCCCCGUUUUAUGUUCACUAAACAAUCGAGGUCGCCAUGUGAUGCAGAGAAUUGAAAGGGAAAACUACAUGGGUGUUAGAUUAUCCUAGAAUUCUAAACAUGACAGAAGGUCACCAAAAUUUAGGCCGCCUUUUACACACAAUCGACUGCCAUAUUUAAUCUAUUCUCUGUAAUUCUCAAACAUCCGGUUGAAGAUAUUAAGAUUUUGUAUUAUCCACCAUUCUCGGGACAAUGAAAUAUGGCAAUUAGGAAAAGAUUGCAAAAGAUGUUCACCUAACGGCUGGCUGAGAAGGGUACAUCAUUUGUGAAACACUUCCUACAAUUAUAGUAGUAGUCGCAUGACUCCUGUAUUUCUUCAAGAUAUUAUAUGAGUUCUUGGAAGAAGAGUUUAGAGGAAUGUGAGAGCAACUAAUUUAGAGGAAUCCUGGACUUGAGGAAAACACAAACACUAAAGCUAAAACUAUGACCGACGAUGAUUGUUUUGGAACUUUCAAGGGAAAGUUUAUGUAAUUGAAUGUUGAAGUAACUAUGUGUUUGAUUCAAAUUGUUUGUACUGUACUGGGAAUUAAAGUAUUGGAAUGAGCGUCGAUGUUACUUUGAAUACAUUAUUGUUAAUUAAUUAUUUUCUUUUAAUA